AACUAAGGUAGAGGUGCGUUAUUUAAUAGUAUAUCUGUGGAUAAAAGCAAAUAUGAAACGGAUAAAAAGGAAAUGGCGCCGAAGUGUAUAGUGGAAGCUUUAACACUAUAUAACUGGUUUUACAUAAAACAUAUGUAAAACUGUCACAACCAUUUUGUGGAGGGCUAUCAUUCAA
rnacentral:ncRNA from 2 species